CCAUUUCUUAUAGAACAAUAAUAUUCCAUUACAUUCACAUACCAUAACUUAGUCAUUCUUCAGCUGAAGGGCAUCCACUCAGUUUCCAGUUCCUUGACACUACAAAAAGGGAUGCUACAAAUAUUUUUGCAUAUGUUAGUCCUUUCCCAUCAUUUAUGAUUUCUUCUUUCUUUUUCUUCCUUCUUUCUUCUUCCUCCUUCUUUCUUUUUCUUUUAUUUUUUUGAAGGCUAUUGGGGUUAAGUGAUUUGCUCAGUGCCACACAGCUAUUAAGUAUCUGAUUUGAAUGCAGACCCUCCUAAAUCCAGGGCUGGUGAUCCAUCUAUUGCACCACCUAGCUGUCCCAGUUCUAAUCUCUUCUCCACAUUAACUAGUUAUAUGACUUUCAAAGACUUUGCUUCUCCAAAUAUUAAGUUUCUCAUCUGGAAAAUAAGGGAGCUGGACUAGAUAAUUUCCAGAUUAUCAGGGUUUUUUUUUUUUUUUUUUUUUUGAUCCUGAAUUUCUUAAUCUAGUUUUCCCUUAAUUACAUAGUUCUCUUACACAAUCUUCUUCCUCACUUUUUCUAGUUUAGGUUAUUUUCUCGCUUUCCUAUAACAGUCAUAAUUUGGUUCUCUUCUCUCCAAAUCACAAGACUACCAUUGUAGUUCAGGCCUUUGCAGGAGUAUCCACAUUGUUCUCCUUGUCUCAAGCGUGUCUUUUUAAUGCCACUUCCAUACUGCUGCCAACAUUAUAUCCCUAAAAUACAGAUCUGAUCCUGUCACUCCUCUGGGAACAAAAAUGAAAUCCUCCAUUUGGCAUUCAAAGCUCAUCAGAACUUUCUUUCCUUUUUUAAAUACUUGUCUCUCCAUCUUACCUUCUAUCCCCCUCUGCUUUUACAUAUGCUACAGUCUAUUCAAACUAGACUAAAACAUUCUACAAUAUGUGCUGUCUUUGUUAUACUAGUUAAUGUUUUGAGAACAGAUCUGUGGAACAAUUCUUAGUACAUUAAUCCAAUUCCCUAUGCUUUGUAAUGUUUUUUUCUCUUCAGCUCUACCAGCUAAAAAUUCUAGCUAAAAUCUCACCUUCAAAAGGAAGCUUUCCCUAGCCCCUCUUAAUUUCAGUGCCUUCCUUCUGUU
rnacentral:lncRNA from 1 species